rnacentral:rRNA from 1 species
GAUGAACGCUGGCGGCGUGCCUAAUACAUGCAAGUCGAGCGAACAGACGAGGAGGUUGCUCCUCUGAUGUUAGCGGCGGACGGGUGAGUAACACGUGGAUAACCUACCUAUAAGACUGGGAUAACUUCGGGAAACCGGAGCUAAUACCGGAUAACAUGUUAAACCGCAUGGUUCAACAGUGAAAGACGGUCUUGCUGUCACUUAUAGAUGGAUCCGCGCCGCAUUAGCUAGUUGGUAAGGUAACGGCUUACCAAGGCAACGAUGCGUAGCCGACCUGAGAGGGUGAUCGGCCACACUGGAACUGAGACACGGUCCAGACUCCUACGGGAGGCAGCAGUAGGGAAUCUUCCGCAAUGGGCGAAAGCCUGACGGAGCAACGCCGCGUGAGUGAAGAAGGUCUUCGGAUCGUAAAACUCUGUUAUUAGGGAAGAACAAAUGUGUAAGUAACUAUGCACGUCUUGACGGUACCUAAUCAGAAAGCCACGGCUAACUACGUG